UUUUUUAUUAAGUUAGAGGCUCUUAAGAUCAACUGUUUGAAUUGCAAUUUGGUUCAUGAUUUAUGCAUAAGAUAUAUUAACCAAAUAACAAGCCUCAAGAUGUAUCAUAAAGAUUUUUAGAUUUAAAUUUCAGAUGAUACAUAUUGGAGAGUAUUAGGAUCACUUUUCAUUUAGUAUUCUUUCUCUCUCCUUUAGUUAUAGAUUUAUGCGAUUAAGUUCCAUAAGAUCUCUCCUUCUGAAAUUUUCUUUCUCUCCCUCAAUUGAUCAUUCCAUUUAAGAGUUUAGAAUUUGAAGAUAAUGUUCAAUAAAAUUGUCAAUCUCAAAAAAAUAUAUUUUCUAUAAGUUUCAGCUUAUUUUCAUAAGACUCAAGGUUUGAGAUAAGACAACUUUUAUAGAACUCAUCUCAAGGUAU
rnacentral:lncRNA from 1 species